rnacentral:rRNA from 1 species
UACGGAGGGUGCGAGCGUUACCCGGAUUUACUGGGUGUGAAGGGCGGGUAGGCGGACUCUCAAGUCCGCUGCUAAAGACCGAAGCUCAACUUCGGGGGUGCGUUGGAAACGGUGAGGCUAGACGGUCGGAGGGGGGAGCGGAAUUUACGGAGUAGCGGUGAAAUGUGCAGAUAACGGAAGGAAAGCCGAUAGCGAAGGCAGCUACCUGGACGGUUGGUGACGCUGAGGCGCGAAAGCGUGCGGAGCAAACCGG